GUGACUCAGCUGCUACAGCAUCAGGCACUGAAGUUGGGUUCCUCAUCAUCAGUGAGCUGCUCCCACCACCCCCAGGCCUGGUUGAGGCCUUGGGGACCUGCAGAGGACCCCCAUGCUGCCUCUAACCAGGACAUUGAAGCACAGAGAUUAAGAAACUGACUACAAGGCCGGGCAUGGUGGCUCACGCCUUAAUCCCAACACUUUGGGAGGCUGAGGCAGGUGGAUCACUUGAGGCCAGGAGUUUGAGACAAGACCGGCCAAUAUGGCAAAACCCCAUCUUUACUAAAAAAUACAAAAAUUAGCCAGGCGUGGUGCCGCAUGCCUAUAAUCCCAGCUACUUGGGAGGCUGAGGAAAGAGAAUGGCUUGAACCCAGGAGGUGGAGUUUGCAGUGAGUCGAGAUCACGCCACUGCACUCCAGCAAGGGCAACAGAUCGAAACUCUGUCGGAAAAAAUAAAAAUACAAAAUAAAAAACUGACCACAGUCCCUUGCUGACUAGUGGCUGGGCAGGGCAGGGACGCAAACCGAAGUGUCCUAGCUCUGGAAUCCAUGCCCGUAAGCCCGGCUCUCCAUCUACUCCCAGCCACUCCUCCCCAAUCUCCUUCCCAAACAAGAAACACUGAAACACAGAAUGAGUUAUAAAGAACCUUGUGUUUCGAUCAUCUGGACAACAGAAAGCCCCUAUUUUAAGAGAAACGCAGUGCGUUACUGAUGGUGUCAUCAGUGACGUGGCCCUGAUGUGCCGCCAUGCUCCAGCUCAACUACACCGGAGCAGCAACUGUUUUCACCCUUCUGGAUUCAGCUAAGAAUCACCGACCAUCGAGAACCAGCUAACACCGAAUGCAUCAGAAAGAGCCAACUUCCACAUAGAUCCCUUCCUGGGCAUAUGCUUAGGGGCUCUGCCAAAACCUGAACAAGGCACAUGGUAGAGAUGACACAGCUCGGGUGCCUGUGCAGUAAUGUGUCCUCACAGGAAGUGGUGAUGCCUUGCUUUCAUUCCCUACUAUGUCUUUGGCUUCACUACAGUCUUUGUCAAGCUUUCUUCAUACCAUACACAGGAACCUCUGGAAAUAACUGUGCUAACUAAGCCCCUAGCACAGCGUCUAACACAGAGCAGGAAUUCACAUUUGUGAAGUGAGUGCACAGCUCUCUCUGCCGUUUUAGAACACCUUGGGAACACUACCUUAAUCCCAAGCUCAGAAAUCUUUAAGGAAGAUAGCUAUUAACUUCUUUCUCACUUUCUACUAGAUGGCCAAAUUCCAACGAUCACAAUUCUAUACUGAAAAUUAUUUCCCAGUAAAACCAAAUAAACCAAGGCAAGGAAACAAUAACAUCAUAACAUACAUAUGGUAUUUUACUGAUGUAUUCAUUCAUUCCAGGACACAUCUCCCAGCUUCUACUUACAUUUGCUAAACAGUUUGACACAGAAAUUCUUUAGUUCUAGUUCUCUUCAACUGAUAUUUAAUUUUAAAGUGUUCUUUAAGAAUCCAAAUACAUUGGGCCAGGCGCGGUGGCUCGCGCCUGUAAUCCCAGCACUUUGGGAGGCCAAGGCAGGUGAUCAUCUGAGGUCAGGAGUUCGAGACCAGCCUGGCCAACAUGGCGAAACCCCAUCUCUACUAAAAAUACAAAAAAUUAGCCAGGUGUGGUGGAACACGCCUGUAAUCCCAACUACUUGGGAGGCUGAGGCAGGAUAAUUGCUUGAACCAGGGAAAUGGAGGUUGCAGUGAGCCGAGAUUGAGCCACUGUACUCCAGUCUGGGCAACAGAGCAACACUCUGUCUUAAAAAAAAAAAAAAAAAAGAAUCUAAAUACAUCAGUUCUCUGAUCUAAGCCACAUUCUUUCCUCAUCUUUGUUUCCAUUAUAUAAACAAAUGAUCUCUCACAGUA